rnacentral:rRNA from 1 species
GACGAACGCUGGCGGCGUGCCUAAUACAUGCAAGUAAAACGCUGAAGGAGGAGCUUGCUUCUCUGGAUGAGUUGCGAACGGGUGAGUAACGCGUAGGUAACCUGCCUGGUAGCGGGGGAUAACUAUUGGAAACGAUAGCUAAUACCGCAUAAUAGCAGUUAUUGCAUGAUAACUGUUUGAAAGGUGCAAUUGCACCACUACCAGAUGGACCUGCGUUGUAUUAGCUAGUUGGUGGGGUAACGGCUCACCAAGGCGACGAUACAUAGCCGACCUGAGAGGGUGGGCGGCCACACUGGGACUGAGACACGGCCCAGACUCCUACGGGAGGGAGCAGUAGGGAAUCUUCGGGAAUGGGCGGAAGUCUGACCGAGCAACGCCGCGUGAGUGAAGAAGGUUUUCGGAUCGUAAAGCUCUGUUGUAAGGGAAGAACGAGUGUGAGAGUGGAAAGUUCACACUGUGACGGUAUCUGACCAGAAAGGGACGGCUAACUACGUG